GACGAACGCUGGCGGCGUGCUUAACACAUGCAAGUCGAACGGUCAAGCGCCUUCCUUGUUUGUGUGUGUGGAGGAGUGGCGAACGGGUUAGUAACACGUGAGUAACCUGCUCCCUUCUUCUGGAUAACCGCAUUAAAGUGUGGCUAAUACUGGAUAUUCUGGGUCGCUCGCAUGAUGGGUCUGGGAAGGUUAUUGUUUCGGUGGGGGAUGGUUUCGCGGCCUAUCAGCUUGUUGGUGGGGUGAUGGCCUACCAAGGCGGUGACGGGUAGCCGGCCUGAGAGGGUGGACGGUACCACAGGGACUGAAACGCGGUACCGACUACUACAGGCGGCAGUAGUGUGGAAUAUUGCACAAUGGACGCAAGGAUGAAGCAGCGACGCGGCGGCGGGGAUGGAGGUCGUCGCGUUGUGAUCCUCUAUCGGCGGUGAAGAAGGCUUGCAGCGAUUGUGCGUGUGUUGACGGUAUCUGGAUAAAAAGCGACGGCUAACUACGUG
rnacentral:rRNA from 1 species